rnacentral:tRNA from 1 species
GUAAAGUCAGCUAAUAAAGCUAUUGGGCCCAUACCCCAAAAAUGUUGGUUACCCCCUUCCUCUACUA